CCUAGAGUGCCCCCUGCAGGCCAAGGCCAGCUGAUACAAGGCAGGCUGCGCAUGGGCGAACGGCGCAGGUCAGGAGAGCCAGGCACCUGGAGCAGGACAGUAUCAGGAGAGGCCUGAUGACUGGAGAGGGCUGUUGGGAAUAUCUGGUGUUUGCCUAAUUUCAAGCCUUAAUCUACACAAGUGUGCACGUUCCCCCUGAAGGCAGAGCUGGAAGAAUCUGGACUGAUUCAGGGUUGGAUUGUGCAAGCUGGCGGGAGUAUCCUGCAAUAAGAAACACCUGGGAGUUUGAGUGUUGCUGAAGCCUUGGACCCCAGCAAACAGCAGAGCUGGAGGAAUCUGGAAUGCCUGAUCAGAGUUGGAUGGGGCAGACCGGCUGAGGUAACUUCCGAUAAGAGAUCCCUGGGAUCCUUGAUUGCUGCAGAAAUGUAGGACCCCAGCAAACAGUAUACCUUAACUAAAUCUGGACUUUAUCCUUUCACCUCCCCUUGCCUGGAAGAAUAGUAUGAUUAAGAGAAGAUGGAAUAAGCAUCACUGAAAGGGUUGUUAAAAAUAGAGCCAGGGGGCGCCUGGGUGGCUCAGUCAGUUAAGCGGCCAACUUCCGCUCAGGUCAUGAUCUCGCGGUCCGUGAGUUCGAGCCCCGCGUCGGGCUCUGUGCUGACAGCUCAGAGCCUGGAGCUUGUUUCAGAUUCUGUGUCUCCCUCGCUCUGACCCUCCCCCGUCCAUGCUCUGUCUC